rnacentral:lncRNA from 1 species
GCAAAUCUGGAGGGAAAUAUGUUACUGUGAAAAUGAAGGUAUGAAUAUGUUGUCGCUCAGUUAUAUGUGUUUAUUUUUUUUAGAAACAAGAUAGAUAUAUAAAAAAGGACAUAUUAUGCAACGUGAUGCCUAAAUUGCUCUUUUUCCAACUCAAUCACAACUUAUUGAUCAAUAUUUUUGGAUAUCAUCAACCAUUUUUAACCAGAAAGGAAGUGGAUAUCAUUUAACGAGGACAAAAAUAGAUAAGAAAUUUUAUUGGAAUGCAAAAUUUUCUUUGUUUAACUUUCUAGGUUGCCGAGCUGUGCUAGUUUCUUGUGACUGUAGCUGGUUGAUGGUUGUGAAAGAAAAACAAAAGGUGAGCUUUAGUAACAAGCUCAUAACACUUACUAUUCAUUUAAUGUUUAUUAUCAUAACCAUAAGAAGAGAUUGUAGUGACUUGUAAAUGUUUUGUUAUGCUUGAAUUGAAUUUGGUUUGGAG